rnacentral:rRNA from 1 species
CCGACCCGCCAAACAAACCCUAGCGCCCUUUCCCAUUCCCCUCCAUCCCCACAAGCCGCCACACCGCUCCCUCUCUCUCCCUCAUCCUCUCCUCACCUGCAGCCGCCGGCCUUGUCUCUCCACUCGUCUCCUCCUCUCCUCUACCACGUCGUCGUUGAUCCACCGCCGACCUUCUCCUCUGCUUACCUCCUCCUGUCCUCUUCCAUGUCACCGUCGAUCCAGAUCGAACGUAUCGUCGUGGGGGAGCAGCGCCGGCAGGGUCUUCGCGGUGCGGGUGGGGGGUAGGAUGAAACGACAAGGGGAGGGUGGAGGCCGGUGAGGAAGGCAAGCAACAGCGGGUGGGGGUAAGGGGCAGGGUGAGGCCUCGCGCAGCUGCCGGUGGCCGGCGGGUCGACUUGUCGCGCCACCGCGUCGUCGUCUCCUCUGCGCCAUGAGGUGCCACCUCUGCCUCCACCCCCCGCCGGGCAAGGAGCUCGAGGUGAACAAGCAGUGUGGGAAGGCAAGAGGAAGCAGGAGCUCAUGUCUCCUCCAAUGGAUGUCUCGUGCAUCUGGAGUACAAGGAGAACAACACGUGCCUGUUGGAGGUGGCUCGAGCGAUGCAGGCCAGCGGUGAACUAGAUCUGACAUAGAAGACCACGUUCCUCAGGGAUCCCAGAAUAUAUUAGACAAUAUGGUAGUCCAAUGCUUUUUUGAAGUAUAUAUUGGCACUAUGCUGAAAAAGGACAUGAUAGGAAGUGAAGACUGCCAGUCAUCGCGCCAUAUUCCCGUUUGCUAUCAAAUUCUCAAAAAGGAAAAACAACUUUACUCUAUUUUUUUGGAGAACCUUCCUGUAGAGUACCUCGACAGAGACAAAUAUGAGAUCAAGGAUAUAUUCGAUGGAUUUUCACGCAAAACUUGGAGGAUAUUUUUUGUAGAUAGUUUGGUGCUCUCAUGGUUAUUUUGUAGUGAUUUUCCUUCCGUUCAUUACUUGGUAACCAUCCACUGCAGCUCAACUAUUGUCCAGUUGCUGACCUUAUGGUGAGUGAUUGAUGGUGCAUGUUUUCCUAUUAGUUUCUUUCUAUGCCAAUGUCUGAAUUUUACCUUGCCGUUUUGCAUUUCUCCAGGCCUUUCAUUCUCACUGUGAUUCCCCGAGAUGCGCUAUUAGUAGGCAUCCACUUCCUAAUAAAAAUCUGGUAGUCAACUUGAAUGAGUCAUUUAUCUAGCUACAGCAACCUUCCUUGCUUUUGCAGUCAACUUGAACGAGUCUAUACCUGCCAAAUAUUUACACGUUAGUAUAGCCAGAAAGUCAGAUGAUCAUUCCAUGUUGGUUAGCCGUGAUAAAUCUAAUUUCUAGAGUAGCAGAUGAUUCGUGUCAGGUUUCUUUUAGAGAUUGAAAUAUGUCUUGACUCUAAAAUAAGUAGUACGGCAUCCAGUUCUGCAUAGGUGAAAGCAUACUAUCUAAAACUGGACGGCCUUCUAAAGCUCUGAAACUACUAUUUGUUGUGUAAUCUGUAUCCCCUUUUCAUACUCUAUAUAUGCUUUCUACUUAGUAGGAAAAAAUGCGUGAGAACGAUGGCCCAGAGGAUGCGAAUUGCACUCAAAUAUAUGCAGGUUUCUUGCCAAACUAACUGCCACUAUUUUAUUUCAGGUGCUUCUUCUGUAACUUUUUAGCUGGCUCUUCUCAUUUCCUGGUGAACUUUUUAGUCUGUACAGUCGAAUCGUUGGAAGUUGUUUUCUACUAUCUAUAGAGGUUUUAUCCAAACUAUUAGUUGCCUGACUUGCUUUUUCGAAAUACACCGUCCUGAUAGACCAAGUGGACCCACACAUUUCCAUGGGAUUUUAGAAAAAUAUAUAUGAAUUUGCAUACAUUUUCUAAAUUUCUAUCUUUUCUUAUCCAUGCUUCCCCAUAGAUAUAUAGCAGGCUCAACAAAAAUGAAUGUCCGAUUGUGUCCAAAUUUCAAGGAAGUGUGCUUCACGCUUCUCUUUCUACAAUAUGUUUCAGAGUAUAUGAUUUAAUUUUCCUACUUUCCCAGUUACAAUACUGUGUACUUCAUUCUUAGCUUUGCUUUGGGAAAAAUAGGUAUGCAAGUUAUCGAAAGCUCCAUUUUUCUCCAUUAUAUAGAUCAUAUAGCUUUGUGAUCGAAGGUAGGUUGUCACAUAUGGGAUGUUGCUUGUGAAAGUUAUAUACAGCCAUGAGUCCCUGGCAAAAUAAUCGCAGCUCAUGUUACUAGGAUCAGGGAACCUCGACCAUUUUUCUGAAACAUGUCGCAGCUCAUGUUCCUACUUUCCCAGCUACACUACUAUGUACUUCAUUCUUACAUUCGCUUUUGGAAGUUACAUUGCUUUCUUUUCCCUCAUAAACUUGCUAACGAUAUUGGCGAAGUAAUCCCGACUUCAGAUUUCCCAUUGAAUAAAUAACUAAUUUAGUUUGUUCAAAAAUUGUAGGUCAAGAUCCAUGAAUAGGAGCAAGGCAUCACACCAGCUCUGAGAAGAAAAGGAUAUGAAGAAAAAGAUAGAACAGUGUUCUGCUCCGAAGCAAAAACAUUUUGCGUGUAAUAAUGAACUGUAAUUUACCACAAUCUCUCUAAAACAGGCCUACCUAUUACCAGUCCGUUGCUUGCUUUUGUAUUAGGAUACAUUCAUGUUGUUUAGUUAUGGUUUGUAUGAAUGAAAUUACCUUUUUAAUCGAGCUUCAAAAUUCUUAUGUGCAGUGAAAUUGUAUCUAGCACUUUGUAAAGUACAAAUGAAACACAUUUCAA